CUUGUCCCGCUUUGCUAGCCGAGCUCAAGCCGCCACUUGUGGCCCUGUUCCUCGGACAAGGUGGCGGUAGUACCGUGUCUCCUUCUUCUCAAUAAUAACAAUAAUAACCACCACUGGGUUCAAAAUACAAACUAAAUCGGCUUUUUUUUCACCCUCUUCGUGAGCCGACAAAACGUCGCUUAUCACCGCGGUGUAGCCGACGGUGCUAGCCGGCUAGCAAGAGGCUCACGCCCGGGGGAAAGGAAAUGUUAGCUAUAAAGUCGCGCUUGUAGUUAAAAAAAAUAUUUAAAAAAAAAAACGUUAGCCUAGCCAAGCCCAGCGGUGCCUUCUCUCUGCCGGUUUGGGGGUGGAGAAGGGAACGGGAGGGACCGGAGUCAGACCGGAGCUAGCUAGCGAUGGCGGGGCAGCACCCCCAUCACGCCCUGGGUCAUUUUGACGGUUUCGGGAUAAGACAUUAGCCGGUUUUUUUUCUGGUUAAAGGCGCCGCGGCUGGCUCGUCGCUGGAUGGAAGAAGGCGGUGUGCUGCACAUCCACCAGCAGCAGCCUGAUGCAUUGGCAGGGGGAGGAGAUGCUGAGUGACAGCAGCAGGACGAGCUGGGUGGAUUCCAGUUUAAGGCUAUAUUACCUCUGGGAGUGGUGAGCCAGGCGCAGGUGCCACAGUGCCCGGUUUAGACGCUGCUGAGCCAGGGCUCCUCCUCCCGGCGAGCCGUUGUUCAGGUGGUCCUUGUCGCCGCUGCCGGCCUCCACCACCGAGGCGAGGCCGCCGAAGUGGUCGGCCAGGAAGCCAAUGGGGUCGUCCGGCCUGGCUUCGACCAUCUUUAACACGGCACCGCGUAGAAGCUCCCCGACGCCGGCCUGCGAUAGGAAGUCUCUGUCCGUGUCCGACUUGGAGGUCUUGCCUUCGGCCACGACAGCAGGGGGAGACACUCCGGACCGGCGCUUCUCUCUGUCGGCCAUGUUUGUUGGUGGCAGCGGAAGUGGGUGCUUCAAAAAAUGAUCUCUGCCGGAAGAAGGCGUUGAUGACGGGGGUCCCGGCCGGGACAAGCGGGGCCUUGCAAAGGAAGGAGAGAAGUGCCAGGACGCUGUGGAAGGACUGGAAGUGAUCGUCUCCCUCGGGUCGGAUGGUUAUACGCUGACAAAGCUCUGUCAGGAUGGCCAGGUCCAGUAUGAUCGGACUGGCGAGAAGAGAGUCCUGUGGGGGGGGAAAUGGUAGGGCAGUUGUUUAGAAUCCAUAAUGUGACUUUAUUUGGUUAAAGUCAAGCAUUGAAGAAAAACACAAGUUAAUUCUAUUAAAAAAUAUGUCAUGACUUCACAAAAAGAGAGUCGAAGUAUCAUGAGAAAAAAGUUAUAAAUCAUAUUUUCACAAAAAUUAAGUUAAUGGGAAUAUAAUUUUAAUACCACGGGUGGAAUGCUCUAAUUUUAAGGGAAUAAAAACGUAUUCUAAGAAAAAAAAGUUGCGUAAUUAUGCAAAAAAAAGUUGUAAAAUAAGGUUGUAAUUUAAUGAGUGAUAAAUUGUAAACAUUUUUUAGAAUCAAAUCCUAAUUUUACAGAAAAAAGGAAGUAAUAUCUAAAAAAUGUCAAUAUGAAUAAUAAAGUUGCAAAAUGACAGGAAACUAUUGUAAUAUUGGGAGACAAUAUUCGUCAUCUUACAACAAAAAAGUUGUAAUAUGAUGAGAGAUAAGUUAACAUUUUAUGAGAAUAAGGCAGAGUUGAAAAAAAGUCUCAAUUUUACGGCAAUAAAGUAGUAAAAAAUUGUUUUAAUUUCGCAAAAAAUCAUAAUUCUAUGACAAGAAUUUGGUUUUAACACUCUUUUACCUGAAAAAAGUUGUCAUUAUAAAAAAAACUUGUAAUAUUACAAGUCAAAAUAAUAAAAAGAGUUGCAGUUCACAGGAAAAUAAAUCAUAUUUUCUUUACAAGAAAUUAGAGAUGUCCGAUAAUGGCUUUUUUGCCGAUAUCCGAUAUUCCGAUAUUGUCCAACUAUUAAUUACCGAUUCCGAUAUCAACCGAUACCGAUAUAUACAGUCAUGGAAUUAACACAUUAUUAUGCCUAAUUUUGUUGUGAUGCCCCGCUGGAUGCAUUAAACAAUGUAACAAGGUUUUCCAAAAUAAAUCAACUGAAGUUAUGGAAAAAAAUGCCAACAUGGCAAAAAUGGGUUGAGG